rnacentral:lncRNA from 1 species
UUCCAUAUUGAUUAGCAAUGAAAUUAGAGGCUCAAUUUCAAACAAUUAAUGAAUAAACCAAUAUAAGAAUGAACAGAUGUGAAAGAAAAACAUGCAGCAAAAGAAAAUCUACCAUGCACACUAACAAAUUAUCAAAAUCUCCCCCCACUUAACCAAUGCUUGCUUUUAAGCUUGUUAAAUAUGAAUUUAAAGUUAAGUAACUCUAACAACAAGCAAAGAGAAAGGUUAAGAAUACUCUCCAUGUGUUUCUAAUAAUGUUGUCAGUGUUAGGAGUAACGACUUUAUAGGAUGUCGAGCAUUCGGUUUAAACGUGCCUCUACAGAUGAAGGAGGUUGCUCAUCUCGCUCCCUAGUAGUGAAAUUGGGACGUUGGCGAAUUACAUUAUUACUACGUGUAUUUCGUGUACCUAGAGGAACAAAAUAAUACACGGUAAGGGUGCCGACAAGCAAACCGAUAGAAUCCAAACAAUAUUCAUCUAGACUGUCCAUAGUAUAUGCACAUGUUAAGGAUGAAAAAUUGACUGAGUAUUAGUGGUCGAUUAGAGCGUAAAACAGCAUGAAAAUUUCGUGCAAACCAAUAUCCUAAAUUAACUUUAAAUUCGAAAUGCAUACACCACAAGAAAAAUAAUUCAGUUUUAUUUAAAACAGAUGAUGACUCAUUUCGACCUAAAAAACUAAAAGCUAAAAAUUGAUGAAUGUAUCUCAAAGCGAUUUCAUGCACCAACAAGUCCUUAAAGGUCUUGGGAUUAUAAAGUUCAUUUCUAGAAUGAGUUAGAACACAAUAAACAUUAUUAGCAUCAAAAUUACUUGGAAUAUCUAACAAAGCAAUAUGGUAGGAAUCAAUUUAAAUGUCGUCAAGGUUAACGAAACCCAUGGCGAUGUUAAAAUCAGAAAUCGACAUUCUAAAGUUUUUACCAAGUAACCGAAAAAGGACAACGUCUUGAGUUUCAACAGUUCGUAAUGCAUUAAUAUUGAAGAUAAAUGUUGUGUAGAAUUCAUAAACUAAUUCAUAAUAUGCAUUAUAUGAAGUGUUUGCAAAUGAACUCCAACCAAUAGCAUCAAAAUAGUUUAACACUGCAUCACAUAAAUUUAACAUAUUAAGAGUGUAAAGCUCAAUUUGCUUACAGACUGGGGGUAGACGUUGUCGAAUGUUGUCGUAUUGUGCGUGAUGCUCCAGGGUUGUCAAGUUCAGAGACCUUCAUAAUCGACCUUCAGUGGGAGUAGUUUAGGUAUAGACUCGCCUAUUACAUUUACUAUCUCGGGACGGUAGAACAAUUUCGUUAGACGAGCCAUAUGGUCAACUCGAAUUUCUAGCAGUGUCAAUAUUGCUAAGUAGAGGCAUCACUGCUCAUAAAUUGGUGGUCGAUAUGUCCGAGUGUUGGACAAUUGUGUUCGACGCUGAAAAACAUGCUCGUUUCUAGUUGAAGGACCUUCGCCAUGUUCGUUAGAAGUCUUAGCCUCAUCCGAACAAUCUGCAUAGUAUGUUAGUAAAGGUAAAAUAGGUUUUAAGUUAGGAAUCGACCUUUCGGGAGUAAUAGGGCUAUUGUGCGAACAUUCUAUCUCGAUUAGAGUUGGGCUUCAUUGGCGAUGAUUCUUAAUAGGCACGGUCAUUCGUCUUGUUGGGGUGGAGAUGGUUCUGAGUCAUCAUCGUCUAAAUCGAUAACUAGAGGCACUAAAAACUGAUUUUGUCUGCGAUUGAGCAAAGUCAGAAUAUUGUCGGCUGUUUGGUUUCUUGUUCGAACCAUGACCGACAUUCAGACUUAGGAAACGGAAGUGGUUGUUUGCGGCAGCAGUUAACGGUGGUUGACAGCGGCUCUCGCUGGUGUAUUGUGGUUGGGCAGUGAUUUGGUUGACUUUCGAAUGGUGGUGGUAGGGGUUAUAGAAACGACCAAUUAAGGAUGUUGGAGUGGGGUUUGUGUUGUUAAAAAUUGGUGGUGUUUGGAAUCUAGUGGUGUUUGGGAUUUAAUGGCGAUGAUGCGAAUGGUGGAAACGAACAUGUGUUGGAAGGAGAAGAAAUGGAGACGGUCAGCGAAAAGAGACAUGGCAAGACUGCGACAACUCUAAGAAGACCAAGAUCGACGGCGGCGAAGGAGAAGGGAAACAAGUGACAGUGUGUGGAGCGACGUUAUUCGGUGUCGACUCAGUGCAGUGGUGCGAGGGUUUGAAGAGGAAUCAUCGAUCGAAUGGCAUGGCGGUGAUAUGCGGCGAUGGCAGUGGCACUAUAGGGAAGGGUAAAAGUUAGGGUUUUGGGUUUUCUUUUUCUUUUUUCUUUUUUUCUUUUCUUUUCGUUUUUUUUUGGGUUUUGUUGGGCUUGUUUAGGUGUUGAGGAAUUGGGUUUGUUUUGGGUUUGGAUUUUGGAUUUUUUUUUAUUUUGGUUAGGGGUGUUAGGUUUUAUUUGUAGGAAUAUUGUAUUUGGGUUUGGUGUGUGUUUGUUGUAG